AGCAGCCGCGGUAAUUCCAGCUCCAAUAGCGUAUAUUAAAGUUGUUGCAGUUAAAAAGCUCGUAGUUGAGUUUCGGGGUUAGUAGGUUGGUCAUGCCUCUGGUAUGUACUGGCCUCACUGAUUCCUCCUUCCUGAUGAACCUUAAUGCCAUUAAUUUGGUGUUUUGGGGAAUUUGGACUGUUACUUUGAAAAAAUUAGAGUGUUUAAAGCAAGCUAACGCCUGAAUACAUUAGCAUGGAAUAAUGAAAUAGGACGUUCGAUCCUAUUUUGUUGGUUUCUAGGAUUGACGUAAUGAUUAAUAGGGAUAGUUGGGGGCAUUAGUAUUCAAUUGUCAGAGGUGAAAUUCUUGGAUUUAUUGAAGACUAACUACUGCGAAAGCAUUUGCCAAGGAUGUUUUCAUUAAUCAAGAACGAAAGUUAGGGGAUCGAAGACGAUCAGAUACCGUCGUAGUCUUAACCAUAAACUAUGCCGACUAGGGAUCGGAUGAUGUUAAUUUUUUAAUGACUCAUUCGGCGCCUUACG
rnacentral:rRNA from 1 species